GGAAACAAUGGUUCAAGACCACUAAAUCUAACAAGUGAGCUCAUAAAUUUUAUUAUAUAGUGUUUGUGAGUCGAUUGUGAAUUUAGGAAUGCUUAUGAAUUAGUGAAUUAUGCUUUAGAAAUAUUUGUUAGAUUAAUUGGUUUUGAAAACGAGGUAUCGAGACCUUGAUUUUAUAAAUUGAGCUGUAAAUAUUUUUAUAAAUAUUUACGGAGUGUCAUUUAGGUAGUAUUAAAGUUUCGUUAGAAAAUUUUAACGUUUCGAUAGUUAGUUAACUAAAAAAAACUAAAUUGAAAAAGGUGCAAAACUUACUAAUUAAAGAAAUAGUGAUUAAAUGGCU
rnacentral:lncRNA from 1 species